UCCCUCCAAUGGGUGCCUGUCCUCUGGGCUCGGGACGCCGGUGCGGGCGUUCCUCGACAGCGGCCACAUGCGGGUGCUGGCCGUCGACGACUCCAUUGCAGGCGCCGAGGACGCUCUCCUGGCCGCCGCAGCGCUCGCGAGGCUCGAGCCGGGACUGCAGGAGCAAGCCAGGACCCCGUCGUGCGCGUCACCGUCUUCUUCGACUUGGCUGCGGCCGCCGGCGCGGGGGGCUUGCUGGCCGUGCCCGUGAUGCUGUUCUUCAGAGUCCCCACGGUCGGCCGCGGUAUUCGGCCCAUGAGGCGCUCGCGUUCGUGGCCGCGAGCAUCGGGAGGAAGGGCUGGGGCGGCCGGCGCGAGCGGCAAGCGGAGGGUGCUGAUGACCUUGGCAGUGAGGUCAGUUUGUUAUUGCCUAUCUGCGGAAGGUUGGACCCUUGUUUUUCCCCGCGACAGGACCUCGUUCCGGGUUGCUGAUGACCUUGGCAAUGGCGGAUUUCCUUUCUAUCUGCUGGCUUUACGAGCUGGUGGCGGCGGAUUACUUCCUCCCCUUCCUUCUCGGGUGAUGCGAUGGCCGAUGAUCCUUAAACGAAAUUGAUGUGCUGCGAUUGGUUUGGGUGCUGGCCGAUGAUCCUUCUCGAUGGGCGCCGAGUACAGGCUAGCAGCAGCACCCUGGUUGGGGACAUCCAAAGCACGAAUGCUUCAAACUUGAUGGCUGCCUUCAAGGAGUUAGACGGAAUACGCUUACACCGUUGAAUCUUCAGACUAGGCAACGAUUGACAUCUCAAUUCUUACGAGUCAAAGAUUUGGUCUGUCCUGCUGUGUCUUCAUUGGUGUUACUUGGGAAGGUACCAACCUAACCAAGGAGACCAGCUUGAGGUACAGGAAUCCUGCAACGUUGAGGAUUCUGGUGAUAGUAGUCAAGGGAACACUACGAGAUCAGGAUGCUCUUGGUUUCAAGGCUCAAGCUGCCAAUGGUCGAUGAACAACACCAAUGUAGGUUGACUUGUUGAUCAAAUUUAUUAAGAUGCAUCUAUGAUUUUAAUCUAAGUUGUAAUCCUCUUGUUUUAAUCUGAGCAAUCUCAAAGGUUUUUAUUGAGAUGCAUCUAUGAUUUUGGAGAUAAAUAAAGAUCAUGAACAUACAUAAUUAAAUCCAGCAAAAUGUAUGGCUUUUAUUUUGCAUAUUGGAGGUGGUACCUAAUUGCUUAAGGCCAAUAUUGUUGGUUAGCUGUCUUGCUAAACUGAUGCAAACAUGUUGCCUCUGCUCGGGUCCAUUGUUUUUUUUUAAAUGUGUGUCAUUUAAUACAUAAAGCAUUUCAAAAUAAUAUCAUAGUAAAAUAGUGAAUUGUCAUUAGCAGUUUUGAAUAUCCACACCAGCACCAUGUGGUAAGGGAGGACAGGUAAAUUUUUUUCUUUGUCACCAAACAGAUAUGCUCACUUUUAUUUCCAAACAGAUUAAUCCAAACUAGGGUGAUAUUCAAUGCAUGUAUUAAUAUAUUAUAUGGAAAAAAAUAAUCUAUUCAACAAUAUGUUGUUUAUUCUUGUUUAAUAGCACCUUACAUUCAGAAACAUUAUUGCCAUAAUGCAAUGUUUCAGAUUGUUCAACUAACAGUUCUGUUCCAUCGAGAUUUGCAAAGUUACUUAGACAAAUCAUGCUGCAAUAUAAAUGUUGAUAAAUUUUUUAUAAAUUUGGUCAAAUUUAAAAUUGUUUAACUCCUUGGGAAGCGAGAUUUGCAUUUUUUUUAACAAAGGGAGUAUAUGUUUUGGUUUUUACUUAUGAGUCAUGACAUGUUUUCGAGCGGUUUGUACUCGUAACUUUAUUUGUAGUCUUAUGUGGUUGAAUUGCAUUUAUGCUAAAAUUUUCAUCUACUUGAAUAUUUGAAAAUGUAUUCUUGACCCACGUACAUCUUUAGUAUAAAUCAAUGUUUUAAAUAGCGAGCCAUAAAUCGGAGAAUGUGCCCAACCGGACCAGGCAGUGCCUCGAGAAGGGCACCGAGGAUGUCCUCCUCAAGACCGUUCGCCCCUCCGACGUGUUCACCGAAAUGUCCACGCGUGUGUUUACUGUAUGUGCAUUGUGUAUGGACGUGAUUUUUCUUUGUUUGUUCUUCUUCCAUGAAACAAUGCACGAUACAUUUGAGGUACAGCUUAGAUUUUGUUGCCUGGCAGUAUUAUGCAGAAAAGAGGCGCUUGUCAUCCAGUUCAGCAGGGGACGAUGCUGGUGAUCCGAGCAUAGUGGAGAUGCUGGCGCGCCAUGGCCUCACCAAGAGGACUCCUAUGAUGACAUGCACAUGAAUCUUGUGUUUUAGGAAUUUUUGUUUGGUUUACUUAUCACCUUUUUUGCUUAAAAUAUUUCUAUGCAGAGUAUAGUAGCAUGAUAAUCAGAAGCGCUAUGAGGAUGAAAGACUGGUAUGAGUAUAUAUAGCCUUCCGAGCUUGCAAGUGCGGACUGGGAACCACGACGACAAUAGUAGUGACCUGGUAAGAUAGCUGUAUACUUGAUUGUUCCUUAUUUUCUAUGCCCGUGAUUGCUGAUUUUUCUCUCAGGAACAUACAUUACUUGUUAGUUUGCUCAAAGUGGAAGAGCAUGUUCAUGAAACCAUUCUGUUAAUGUUUUUUUUUUAUUUUGAACCAGAAUGAAUGACCUGAAAGAAUAAGCAAUGCAUUAUGCUAACAGUCUCUAA